rnacentral:lncRNA from 1 species
CAAUCCUCAUCUCUCACGUUUACCGUAGCAUCCUACCUCUACAAGCACAAUGAUCUUUUUCCGCAAAUCGUUCAUGCAAUUUUUUCUUUCCACGACACUCUUCUCAAGUAAGUUUCAUUCUUUCCUUUUUGUUUUACAUUUUUAUUACUUAUUAAUUUGGGAAUAAUAAGGGUGAAUGGAAUUUGAAAUCCAACAUUUAGAUAAUUAAUUUUCCUGGAUAGGUGAAGCAGAUUUAAAAAUCAUACUAAAGUGAGAUCUAUUUAGAGAAGUACCUUAUUUCAAAUUUUGUAUUAGGGUAAAUAUCAUAUUUUGAAAUAAGUUUAAAAAAGACGAUAUUUGUAAAUCUGAUUUAGAAAAGUAAAAUUCGAUUUAUGAAAGUAUUGGUUUUCAAAAUCUAAGUUGAAAAGGUAUUGAAUUUAUAAGUUCAAUUUAAGAAAUUAUCAGAUUUUGAAAUUUAGUAAAUAAGUUUUCUGAAUUUUGAAAUCCAGUUUAGGAGUCUCGUAAAAUUUGAAGUUUAGUUUAAGAGUUUUUAAGUUUUCAAGAUCUGGUUCUAUUGUUAUUGUUAUUUUUAAUUUGAUGUGUUUUAGUUUUGUUUUUGUUUUUUUAGUUUAGUUAUUUGGUGUGUUAUGAUUUUGUUUUGUUUUUCUUUUUAUGUUUAAUUAUUUGACGUGUUGUUUUUAAUGUUUGUUGGAAUUUGUUUGUUACAAAAAUGGAAAGAACGCAGAGUGUCUAUAAAAAUCAGGUUAAGAGCUUUAGACAUGAUGAAGCUAGAAGGAAACCCACAACAUAUACUUAUAGAAAAGGUCGUCGUACUAAAGUUAAAGAAACGAUACCGUUAGUUCAUUCAAACGUUGAUGAGCAGCAUGAGAAUAUUAUUGAACAGAACAAGAAUGUUGGUCAACGAGAAGAUGCAUUAAGUGGGUAUCCUCGAAGUUUACAUGACACUUCUAUCUUGACCAACUAUGUCGAUCAUGUAACAUUUGCAUUGUAGGAAAGUUGUGUUAGUAAAGUAUAUGAUUAUUUUUUUUUGCUUUUGCUUGUUGAUGAUGAUUUUAAAUUUUAUAUGCAAUUGUUUUGUUUAGGACUAAGGGAGAUAAAGUUGGUCAACAAGAAGAUGCAUUAAGGGGAUAUCCUGGAGGUCUACAUGACAUUUCUUUCUUGACCAACUAUGUUGAUCAUGUAAUAUUUACGUUGUACAAAGGCUGUGUUAGUAAUGUAUAUGAUUUUUUUUUGAAUUUUAUAUGUAAUUGUUUUAUUUAGGAUGAGGGGAGAUAAAGUUGGUCUCACAUGGAAAAAAAAAUUAAACAAAUUUGAAACAUGUGACGUGAUUAUUUAGAAUUUUG